CGUUCGUAUGGCUGUGGUACAGAGGCUAGAAGGUUUUCCUUCUAGCCUUUUGGCGAAUGCUUAUAGAAGCUUCAAGUUGCGGACACUACGGUGGGCCAGGGCUUGAUGACAUUUGUUGCCCAGCUGCUGGUGCUACCGCGACGUACUUGGAGCAACGCUUCUGCUUAUUUCCUCUGCCUGCACCUUAUAUUUGUUGUGUUUAUUGAGACCUGGCCUGUCUCUGCCUCGUUGAAGACAAAUGGACACAAGUACUGGUCGCUGUUGGUUUGUUUGGUUUGCUCAGUCUGAGCGUGAUCUAUUUGUGAACUUCCCAAGCCACUUCACAACUGCAAGCUGAAUCUGAUGUAUGCUGUCUCAGGGUCAUGACCUAUAUUUGGGGGAAGACUAAGAAUGCAGCCUGUGACUGAAGUUUCAGUGUUUUGAGCCCACCAUUUCGAAAUGCUUUUUAUGUGCACUCAGUAGGAGACAGUUCUCCAAGCUUCUUGAUAUGAUUUUCAGUGAUACUAGAAGCAAAGCUUAUUAGUUGUAUUAUACUAAAUUUUCAUAUUUUCUCUAAUAUACUGUGGUCGCGAUAACACCACACUGCUUAAAAGGCAUAGAAAAUAAAAAAGCUACUUAUUUGCCCUAGUAUAAUGUAGAAAUCGGCAUUCUGCAGUCUGAAAAGUGAAAACAAAAACAUUAUCGUUGCAACAUUCACAACCACUUUAGCUGCUCAUAAAAUCAUUGAUGUACAUGUAAAGAGCCUCUAUGUUGUGUCUGUUAAAAACAUGCUCCAUCAUGCUGCAGCAUUAUGCACAUUAGCUUUGUGUAGAAGCCACAGCAGUUGCAAUGUGCUGCACCGCAAUGCACCUUGGUUAUGUGGAAAAGCUACCAUUGUUGCUAUGCUCUUUACUGUUAUACACGUCAACCUUGUGGCAAAGCCACUGCACUUGCAAUGUGCUGCACCUCAAAACGUUUCAGGUAUGUGGGAAUGCACACUUGCAUGCGCUAGAUUUGGGCAUUUUUAAUGCAAAUAAUUAUUUUUUCAUACCAAGCACUUUGCAGUAGGCAAUUUUACGUCCCGACUCGUUUCGGUCUUCUGCAUUGAAAACAAAAAUAUGUUACAGUGACCCCGAACCUGUUUCCCAGCAUAACAACCUGACACUCUAGCCAUUUGACCACUGUCGUGCACAUACUUCUUGCUCUCCAAUGCAUUGCUGUGUGUAUGGGAUAGUGGCACGUGUAUAACAGUGCAUAAUACAUGUCAGAGCAUGUGUGCAUAUACAAGUUGCUUAUCAAACUGUGAGCAUGUCAGUUUCUCCCAUUCUUCCUUUGUAGCUGGACUUCGAGGUGCUUUGUUAGAAUGCACCACCUUCGGGAUUCGCUCACAUUUCCAAGUCCCCCUCACUGUAGCAGCUAGCACAACAUGGACACUGUACCUUUAUGCUGUAAUGUUUCUUCACUGGAGUACAAAAAGGAAUUGUGUAGAUCCAACAUACAUGUUAAAAGUGGUUAAUGAGAAUCUAUGAAACAUUCAUAUUUAAUGCAUUGUUGCAAUCCAAAUGAUGGAAAGCGUAUUUGCGUUGGCAAGCUAGCAGUAGCAGAUGUCACAGGCAUGUUAUGCAGGGAAGCCACCUUAUCACCUAUAGCUGUUCUCUGUGCAGUGAGGAUGAAGGUGACAUGUGCUUGUUUAGUGAAGAACGUUGACAAGAGGUGUAUGCACAGAGACAUAUGACACUUAUCUUAAUACUACAUGUAAGGCUUGUAUACUUGUGUCGCAGCGACACAUACCUAUUCUAUGAGAUGGGCCUAGAAUAGGCACGUGCCCAUUUGCGCAUACUGCAUAAGCCAAGUUUUCCACUCGUCAAAACAGCUGCCACAACAGUGUUAGGAAAGAGGCAAAGAAACCAUGCCUUUGCAUUCAUACUCUCCUCACAAAGCUUGUGUCAUAUAUGCAAUCACUCGCCAUACACAAACACAUUGGUCAACACUGCAAUGUUUGGAAGAACCCAAACCAACGCUACAUAGCCAUUUACCUGCAACAUAAAUCCCGACUGUGUCUGGAAUCUACAUAAUGUUUCUUAAUUUUUCAGGCAUUUGGUGGUAGAGGCCAGCGCAUUAGACAGAAAUCCUUCUUGACUGCAGCAAUGUUCAGAAUGUAGUAUGAGGUACUCUGUCUAGCUGGAAGUUGAAGAUGGAAGUUAUAUUAGUAGUUAAAAUAUAGUAGCUAGUACUGAAACUACACAUGCAAUCAAGGCUGAGCCACAUGCAAACACGGAAGAGCAGACACACACGGUGGUCACUUGAGCUGGCAUUGUGUAGCUUUACCAACAAGCCCAGCUGGACACUGAAGUAAGGCAUGUUGUUGGGUUAGUCAGCUUGUAGCUUCAGCAAAAUUUUAAACUGUGUGAGGAAGACAGGACAUGAACAAAAGCAUAGAUGCAUGCGCAAAGUAUAGACUUCCGACUGGCUUUGUUUGGUGAAGGCAGAGAGUUUAUAAGGUUCUUCAAAAUGGCAAAACAAAAAACAUUCGCAAAGAAAUUGUGCAAGAGGCAGAUAUGAAAAAUAGCAAGGCCACCUGUGCAUUAAGAGUGCAGUAGAGUCCCAAGGUGCCCAUCUAAGAAUUCUAUUUCUUUCCUUGAUAGGUAUCAAGAAGGUGAGCUAACUUAGUUCUCACAAAUUUUAGCGAUGUGGAAUGCUUUGAUGACUUCUCUUUCUGCUUUUGAGCUUGCCUUCGAAAGGAAUUUAUUCUGUUCCAGAUGAGGCAGGCAGCUUUUGCUUUCGCAGCUCCUGCACUGCAAGAGGAGAUUCUCAAGGAAAUAAUUGCCUGCAUGUAAAAGAAGUUUCUGGAAGUUAUCGAUGGGUUCCAUCCACUGUCUUUCACUGCAACUUGUGUUAUCUAAAUGCAUGUGUGCGCGACGUGAAUAAUGUGAAACUUUGUGAAAGGCACGCGGGUCCCAGCGAUUGCUCUGGAACAUUCGACGACAGAUGUAUAAAAGCCGACGCGCUUGACCCGCUCAUCAGAUUUUCGACGACCACCGAUCGUGUUCGCCGCUACCAUCCUUCUUUGAGUGUAGCCUGUUUUUGAGGGCACAAGUUCGCCCAAUAAAACGCUCGUUUCAUUAAUCACAGUUUUGCUGCCCACGUGACAAUAUUGGGGAGUGCCAGGAAUUGAGAGAUCGAGACAGACCGCCACUAGAAGUUCCCUGGGCCAGGUGACAACUCAAAUGCAUCCAAAUAUUUCUAUAUUUCACUAUAUGAACUUUUGUAGAAUGAGGAACUUUUCAAGGGUGCAGUUGUUUCACACAAAAGAAAACUAUUACUAAAUAGUGACCAGUUUCUUUUGUUUUGUAAGCCAGAUUGCAUGUAUUUGACAUUGCUUACCGACUCUUACUUAUUCUCGCUGUCCGAUACAAGCAUAUGCACUCACAUGUUUUCAAACAAUGUGUGGAGCCAUGUUUUUGGUGGAAUAAAAUUGGUCCCAAUACAGAGCUUCGUGGCACACCGGAUCUUACUAGCAAUCACGGAGAAGAAAAUUCAUUAGUAGUUACAAAUUGGUUCGCGUUAGUUAAAAAUUUACUAAUCCAAUUCGUAGUCCUGUCAAUUCAAAGUUUACUGUCUUUUGUGUAUUGGACCAAGCCGAUGACCCCUGGCCUGGGCGGGCCCUGGCACUUUACCUAGUGGUGGCCUUUGAAAAUAGCAGUGUGGCACCAGUGGUUGCAUCAGGAUCUAGGCUCAUGAAGAUAGACAGCAACGUGCACAGGGCAAGGAGUUUGGUGGCCUGGUACUCGUCACAGUUGUGGAGUACACUAUAGUUUUUGCGAGUCCUAGCCCCUACCUAGGGUACCAGUCUGUGCACUGUGUAUAUAUAUAUAUAUAUAGGAUGUGCAGGAUUGCUCGUUGGCAGCACGUGAUCAUGCGGCAGCUGACAGGCCUUCUAUGUGUUUCGCCCUGGUAGUGCGGUCGUCUUUGUGAUUCUAGAGCUGUGCUGGCAUUGCCCAAGAACAGGAUCUAACGGCAUGGUGCAGAAUUGCAGAGUGGGGGUGCUCCAUUCUAUUCCCACUCCAUUCCUUCAGAGUUGUGGUUAUGCGAUUCCAGUCCUUAUAACUUGUCAGAAUUCUGACAGUUGGACCAGUCCCACUGUUUGAGUGGUCAAACUAAUCUACUCCAAUCCUCCAAUUACAGUAAAUAAAACGCUUCCCGUAUAAUUACUUACUACUUGCGCCCCGAUACAGCGAUAGCGUAGAGGUAGAGCAUCCGCCUCACGUGCAGAAGGACUGUGGUUCAAAUCCAGGUGCCAGCAUACUUUGCCCCGGCUGACCUUCCACAUAUGCCCCCAUGGGUAAUGUCCAAAAUACCAGUACGUCUAUCUAUUCCCGGAAUUUCUAAAAAAUCGCGAAUACCUACCGUCGGCCUCAGACAUUUAACACUUGAAUAUAUGUCGAAAGAAUAUGACUCCUCGGUGAGCGUGUAUACAGACGGCUCGGUCUCGUCGUAUGCGUCUGGUGCGGCUUUUGUCGUGCCUGCGCAUCAAGUCAUUCGACGGUUUCGUCUGCAUAACAAGACGACUACAACAUCUACGGAAUUAGUGGCACUAAGAGAGGCCGUUCAAUAUAUUGCGCGACAGCCUCCUCAAAUAUGGACAGUUUUCAGUGACGCAAAAUCGGCUCUUCAACUACUUAGAGUGGUGUUGAAAGAAAGCGCUUACAGAGUGUUGGCUCUUCAAACUGCCGAGCUCUACACUUUAGCGCAAGAAAACGGCCACCAGAUCACAUUUCAGUGGAUUCCUAGUCACUGCGGUAUACAGGGCAACGAACUGGCCGAUGCCGAAGCGAAGAAAGCACUCGAAGAACGAGAGUCACUGCUUUCAAUUCCUUUUUCAAGAGCGGACGCCAACUGUCUCCUCUCCAGUGUCAUCCGAAAAUUGACAGCAAAGCACUGGGACAAUCCGGAUAAUCGCCACAGACGACUCCAGAGAUUGGACCCCACCAUGAAUUUUAGGCUACCACCGAUAAUUCAACGAAGCUGUGCCAGUCUUCUGCACAGACUAAGGCUGGGGGUAGCGUUUACGCGCGGAUACGUGGACCUCAUGCGAUGCACCGAGUCUCCACACUGUGAGGUGUGCAAUGUGACUGAGACUAUAGGUCAUGUGCUUUGUGACUGCCCUAAGUUUGUGGAAGAGCGUGAUAGGUUGGUCAAGGACCUUACGCGUCUCGACAGCGCACCGUUGUCGGAGGACGUUAUUUUAGGCCCUUGGCCAGACGCUCAGUCGAGUUUCAAGGCGAUCAAGGCAUUACUGAACUUUUUAAAAAUUACGGGCCUGGAUUGCAGACUUUGAGCAUGCCAAAUUGCUUGCCAUAUGUUCUACAUCUUCCUUCUAUCGUCAUCGUCACCCAUCAUGCACCUCUUUCUUCCCUCUUUCUUUCCCUCUUCCCCUUCCCCCAAUGCCGAGUAGCUGGCUAGAGGAAUAUACCUCAGGCCGACCUCUCGGCAUUUCGUGUCAUUAAACUUCUUUCUCUCUCUCUCCAGGUGCCACUCAAUUUUCCACCGGAUAAAAAAAAUCCAUGUUGAUACAGUUGUAUAAACAGGCCUGGUGGCCUGACCCCAGUGACCAGAACUGGUAAUGCACUCCCUUACCAGAGCAGGAUUGGCCACAACCUCCUAUAUGAAUAGAACAAUCAAACCCCGGCCCUCGGUCCCCAGCAGCUGCGAAGCAACUGACCACAGCGGCGGUCAGACCUGUGACGCCACAGAGGGUGCUAAUAAUCUCUGGAUCCGGACAGGCCACCAUUGGAAUCUGAACCUGGCAACGUUUAACGCUAGAACGUUCUCUAGUGAGGCGAGUCUAGCAGUGCUAUUGGAGGAAUUAGCGGGCAUUAAACGGGAUAUAAUAGAGCUCAGUGAGGUUGGGAGGACAAAUGAAGCAUAUACAGCGCUAAAAAGCAGGCACAUCCUGUGCCACCGGGGCUUAGCGGAGAGACGAGAACCAGGAGUUGGAUUCCUGAUUAAUAAGGAUAUAGCUGGUAACAUACAGGAAUUGUAUAGCAUUAACGAGAGGGUAGCAGGUCUUGUUGUAAAACUUAAGAAGAGGUACAAAUUGAAGGCCGUACAUGUCUAGCCGCCUACAUCCAGUGACCAGCAAGUCGAAAGCUUCUAUGAAGACGUGGAAUCGGCGAUGGAUAAAGUCAAAACAAGAUACCUUUCUCCAGCCUGCUUCUUGCCUACCCUGGCAUUGAAGUCGCCCAUCAGUAUAGUAGAGUUUGCAGAAUGGAAUAAUUUGCGGACAAUGAAUACCUUCUUCCGCAAGUGGGAUAACCGAAAGUGGACUUGGAGGAGCCCGAAUGGCGAGACUAGAAAUGAAGUAGACCUCAUACCCUGCGCUAACCCUGGCAUCAUACAAGAUGUGGACGUGCUCGGCAAGGUGCGCUACAGUGACCAUAGGAUGGUAAUAUCUCGAAUUAGCCUAGACUAAAGGAGGGAAUGGAAAAAACUGGUACAUAAGAAGCCGAUCAAUGAGUUAGCGGUAAGAGGGAAAGUAGAGGAAUUUCGGAUCAGGCUGCGGAAGAGGUAUUGGGCUUUAACUCAGGAAGAGACCCUCAGUGUUGAAGCAAUGAACGAAAAUCUUAUGGGCAUCAUUAAGGAGUGUGCAAUAGAAGUCGGUUGUAACUUCGUUAGACAGGAUACCGGUAAGUUAUCGCAGGAGAUGAAAGACCUAAUUAAGAAACCAACCCUUAUACAUAGCUUUCAUUGAUUACGAGAAAGCGUUUGAUUGAGUAAAAACCUCAGCAGUCAUUAUGGAAUCGGGGUGUAGACGAGCCUUAUGUAAAAAUACUGCAAGAUAUCUACAGCGGCUCCACAGCCACCGUAGUCCUCCAUAAAGAAAGCAACAAAAUCCCAAUAAAGAAGGGCGUCAGGCAGGGAGAUACGAACUCUCCUAUGCUAUUGACGGCGUGUCUACAGGAGGUAUUCAGAGACCUGGAUUGGGAAGAAUUGGGGAUAAGAGUUAAUGGAGAAUACCUUAGUAACUUGCGAUUUGCUGAUGAUAUUGCCUUGCUUAGUAACUCAGAGGACCAAUUGCAAUGCAUGCUCACUGACCUGGAGAGGCAAAGCAGAAUGGUGGGUCUAAAAAUUAGUCUGCAGAAAACUAAAAUAAUGUUUAACAGUCUCGGAAGAGAACAGCAGUUUACGAUAGGUAGUGAGGCACUGGAAGUGGUAAGGGGAAUACAUCUACUUAGGGCAGGUAGUGACUGCGGAUCCGGAUCAUGAGACUGAAAUAAUUUGAAGAAUAAGAAUGGGCUGGGGUGCGUUUGGCAGGCAUUCUUGGAUCAUGAACAGCAGGUUGCCAUUAUCCCUCAAGAGGAAAGUGUGAAACAGCUGUGUCUUACUAGUACUCACGUACAGGGCAGAAACCUGGAGGCUUACGAAACGGGUUCUACUUAAAUUGAAGACAGCGCAACGAGCUAUGGAAAGAAGAAGAAUGAUGGGUGUAACAUUAAGGGGAUAAGAUGAGAACAGAUUGGGUGAGGGAACAAACGCGAGUUAAUGAUAUCUUAGUUGAAAUCAAGAAAAAUGGGCAGGGCACGUAAUGAGGAGGGAAGAUAAUCGAUGGUCAUUAAGGUUUAUGGACUGGAUUCCAAGAGAGGGGAAGCGUAGCAGGGGGCGGCAGCAAGUUAGGUGGGCGGAUGAGAUUAAUAAGUUUGCAGGGACAACAUGGCCACAAUUAGGACAUGACCGGGGUAGUUGCUGUUUACGCAAGCAUUUUGCAAAUGCGGCUCACUUUUAAGCACCCCUCCUUAUGUCUAAAAAAACAGAAAUAAACAUUCAGUAUACUUUUUCAACUUUUACUAAGCUUAUCAUAUAGCUCAGUGUUAACAUACAGUAAUCACAGGUGAGGUUACAAAAAGCAGUAAUAAUUGACAGUAAACACUGCUUGGAUGGUGAAAAACAUGGGAAUCAGGUCAUUUUAUUUUUGACAACAACCUUUUUUGGCAUAGGAGGCUCAGGAAAUGGUGAUGUAGCAACACUGUAAAGACUGAAUAAGAUAGAUGUGGAAUGCCUUGAUGACUUCUUUCUGUUUUCUUUAUUUUGUCUUCGAAAGGAAUUUAUUCUGUUCAAGAUAAGGGAGGCAGCUUUUGCAUCUGCAACAGAACAUCGGUGGAUGUUGUGUGAAGCACUUUUUCUUUGCUUUUUCACUACCUGAGCAAGGUAACUUUCUUUGUGCUUCAUCGCGCGAUUUCUACAGUCAACUUCCAUUAAUUCUACCCUGACGAGACUGACGGGUCGAAUUAAGAUGCAAAAACCUGCUGAAACACCGUUGAUUCAUUUGGCAGUAUGUGCUUGCGCAAUUUGCCUCUGAAACGAACAUGCAUCAACUUUCUAUUUGUCCAAAGUAUAAAACUAAAGUAGAAAUGACAACUCCAAACCAAAGUGGAAACCUACGCAUACCUGAUUUUUUAGUAUGCCAGCCAACUUUCUAAAGUCAGCUUCGCUGUAUUACAGCCAUGAUAAGCGGUAAAGCAUAUACUGAAAAGAUUUCGCGCCAAAGAACAACACACACAAGAAAGACGACGACACCAUGGGCGCCUGUGGUGUCGUCUUUCAUGUGUGUGUUGAUUUUUGGCGCAAAAUCAUUUCAGUAUGCAAGAUCACCAACUAGCCCAGCAGUUAACUCUUCUAACGUGAAGCAUAUGAAUGCUACAAACAUGGUUUUAGUUUCGCACUUGAUUGUACAGCUAGGCAAUUUUCGGCACAAUGUCCUUGGAAAACAAAAACUGUUCGUUAGAAUCAGAUACGUACUACAAUCAGACAUUGUCAGCUACCGUUACAGCUUAAAAAUCUUUCUCAGCUGGGUCAAAAAUAAGCAUUUCAGGCAGGAGAUAGCGUUUGUAUAACACAUUCACUGUCCCCUAAGCUCUGCUCAGGCAGACGUUGCCACUAAAAGGGGUCGUUAUUGGGGUCUGGUCAAGUUCGCAUUAUAUGGCGAAUGCCAGUUUUAGGAUCAAAAUACUGAAUGUUUAGGCCCAUAGAAAUGCAUGGGCACCGGCCAGGACCGAAUUAACUGAAAAAUGAAAUUAACGAGAGUCGGAUUAUUGGAAGUUUACUGUACACCCUUUUCUGUUCUACAAGGACUUGUCAUUUUAAUAUGUAGUUUUCUUCUAUCAGUGUGGCAGUGGUGCUAAAUUUAGCAUUUGAAAUCAUCCAUCGUUCCAAGGACAAGUUGCAAAGUAGGGGCACAUUUUGAGACUUGAAACAUUUGCACAUAUAAAGGCAGGACACAUUAACAGCUGUCCACUUAACAUAAGUUGGCUGUAUUAUCUGCAUAGUAUGUGGUUGCUUUUUUGGAAUGUGGUCAUUCUGUAAAAGAAAGUUUUAUUUGUUUCAAAUAAAUUGCUGAACUAUU